rnacentral:rRNA from 1 species
UUUCCUACGGGAGGCAGCAGUGGGGGAUAUUGCACAAUGGGGGAAACCCUGAUGCAGCGACGCCGCGUGAGCGAUGAAGUAUUUCGGUAUGUAAAGCUCUAUCAGCAGGGAAGAAAAUGACGGUACCUGACUAAGAAGCCCCGGCUAACUACGUGCCAGCAGCCGCGGUAAUACGUAGGUGGCAAGCGUUGUCCGGAAUUACUGGGUGUAAAGGGAGCGCAGGCGGGAAGCCAAGUCAGCUGUGAAAACUACGGGCUUAACUUGUAGACUGCAGUUGAAACUGGUUUUCUUGAGUGAAGUAGAGG